ensembl:rRNA 5S_rRNA 5S ribosomal RNA
GCUUACGGCCAUACCACACUGAGCACGCCCGAUCUCGUCCGAUCUCGGAAAGCUAAGCCAGUGUCGGGCGCUGGUUAGUAGUUGGAUGGGGAGACCGCCUGGGAAUACCAGGUGCUGUAAGCU